AAGUCGUAACAAGGUUUCCGUAGGUGAACCUGCGGAAGGAUCAUUACCGAAUUGUCAACACGAGUUGUUGCUGGUCCUCAAACGGGGGCAUGUGCACGCUCUGUUCACACAUCCACUCACACCUGUGCACCCUCUGUAGUUCUGUGGCCUGGGGGUCUCUGCCCUCUUGCUGUGGUUCUAUGUCUUUACACACACACCGUACUAAAGUCUCAUGGAAUGCACAUCGCGUUUAACGCAAUACAAUACAACUUUCAGCAACGGAUCUCUUGGCUCUCGCAUCGAUGAAGAACGCAGCGAAAUGCGAUAAGUAAUGUGAAUUGCAGAAUUCAGUGAAUCAUCGAAUCUUUGAACGCACCUUGCGCCCUUUGGCUAUUCCGAAGGGCAUGCCUGUUUGAGUAUCAUGAACACCUCAACUCUCAUGGUUUGCCAUGAUGAGCUUGGACUUUGGAGGUCUUGCUGGCCAGCGGUCGGCUCCUCUCAAAUGAAUCAGCUUGCCAGUGUUUGGCGGCGCCACAGGUGUGAUAACUAUCUACGCUUGUGGUUUCCCGCCAGGUUUCCUUCAGUGAUGGAGGUUCGCUGGAGCUCAUAAAUGUCCCUCCCCAGUGAGGACAACUUCAUGAAUGUUUGAUCUCAAAUCAGGUAGGACUACCCGCUGAACUUAA
rnacentral:rRNA from 1 species